UACGUAGGGUGCAAGCGUUGUCCGGAAUUAUUGGGCGUAAAGGGCUCGUAGGCGGUCCAUCGCGUCGGGAGUGAAAAGCUGGGGCUUAACCCCAGUCCUGCUUCCGAUACGGGUGGACUAGAGGUAGGUAGGGGAGAACGGAAUUCCUGGUGUAGCGGUGAAAUGCGUAGAUAUCCGGAGGAACACCGGUGGCGAAGGCGGCUUCCUGGACCGACACUGACGCUGAGGCGCGAAAGCUAGGGGAGCAAACGGG
rnacentral:rRNA from 1 species